UGAAAUUGUGAAGUGCCAGAAAUAUAUUUAUGAGGUUGAGAAAUUAAAUGAUUGUGAAUCUCUUCAACUCUUUAGUUUGCAUGCCUUCAAACAAACUCAACCCACAAAUGGAUACAUGAGGCAGCUAUCAGAAAGAGUGAUAAGUUAUACUCAAGGAGUUCUGUGAGCCCUUAAGGUUUUAGGUUGCAGCCUUUAUGGUAAAGUUGUGAAAGAAUGGGAAAGUGAGUU
rnacentral:misc_RNA from 1 species